AAAACGACAUAAUUGCACGACUGCAUAUUUGCUGUAGGCUUAAAACAUGCCUUAAUUUAGGUGGGAUAUUUUAUAAUUGUCGAUGGUAUUUCAAUUUGCAAUGGCUUAUAAUGAGCCUACAACUUUGCUUUUUUUGCGACAAAAAAAGAAUAGUCUACUUUUAUAGAUCUUUCAUCUCAAUACUGAUUAUGAAGUUGUGAAAAAUUAAAUAGCCUACUGCAGAAAUGUUUAUAUUGCUUAAUAUGGACAUAUCCUUUGGCAAAGAGAUGGAUGCAUUCUGGGAAGUGAUGUGUUUAAAUGUAAUGGCUACAUAUACCCGUGUUUCCUUCACUUAGACAUUUAUGCUGACCCCUUUAAAUUUUUGAGCAAGGAUAUAAAAUAUUAAGACUGUACUUUUUCAUUAUGAUUGAUAUUUUGGCGCAAUUUUGUGCAACACGUCACUGUGUGCGACCAUCGCAGAAACCAUUGCCCAGCGCGAUUCCACCACGGUUCCUUAAUCCCUGUCCUUUUAAAAAAACAGCACCUCAUUACAUCGGAAAAAAAAGGCACUUUUAAGAGCCACAUUUGUUUUGUAUCUUGUUACUCUCUCUACUGUUGUAUUGUGUCUCUCUCUCUCUUGCUGUCUUACUGUCUCUCCCUCCCCUCUGAGUGGGGUUUUUGUUUGUUUGUUUUGUCUUUUUUUGUCCCUGAGUGUUUAUAGUGUGUUUAUAUUUUGUGCCAUGUCUGAUCCUGAGAUGGACCGUCUCCUGAAUGAGAUGAGUGACCUUGUCGAUCAGGCUGAACAUCAAGCUCACCUCCAACAGCUCAUUAGCAUGCACCAGGAAGCAGAACCAUCCACCGGUCAGCCUUCCACCAGUAAUCCAUCCACCAGCCGGCCAUCAAAAAGCAAGCAAGAUGUUAGGUGGAUUAAGAGGGACAGUGAUGGAAACAUUAUUUACGGCAGGCCCAGAUCAUCCCGGAAACAAGCAGCAGGUCCCAGUCACAGCCAGAGUCGAAAGACUGGUGUCUCUCAUAUCAGGGCUCCUGAAACCAGUGCGGAAAUGACCAGUGACUUUCCUUCCGUUACUGCAGAGUCCUUCCUUCAAGAGUUUAAAAGCUCACUGUUUGAGGAAAUACAUGACGAUGAAACGGUACUUCAAGCCUCAACAGACUGGUCGACCCGAAAGAGCCUCAUAUCAGGGUGGUGGGAGAAAGAGAGACCCCGACUGGUCAACACCAUGGUGGCUCGACAACAUGCGGCAACUCGGAUCUGCCAACAUUGUGGAAAUGGUCCAGCCGUAAUCCGUUGUUGUGACUGCCGACCACACCCAUUCCUCUGUGGUCAGUGUGAUGUCAGGGUCCACCGAGGUCAAGUGUUCCACAACAGGGAUUCGAUGACACAUGCAUUCUUUCAUCCAUUGCCUCCCACAACUUGUGUUGUGGAGAGGGUUCUAACCCAGUGUGAGCGUCUUGUACCUUUGGAGAUGCCAGAGACAAUAUGCGGUUGUCUACGAGUAUCGUCCAGUGUCAUCGCAGGACAGUCCAUAGUUGUGGUUACAAUGAAUGGGCGAUAUGAUCUCAGAUUGCCUCAGAUUAGAUGCAAAGCAUGUGAAGCCACUUGGAGUCCUGGAGUGGAUGACCUGAUCCGUAAUGACUACUGGCCUGCCACUUCUCACUAUUCAACUGUGUAUGCAACAGAUGUCCUUUUUUCUUUUGAAGAGCUGAAGAUGGCAGCACCAGGGAUGUCUAGCCAAGCAUUUCUUAGAAUGCUGGAUCAACGCACUGUUCGCUUUGGCCGUAGCGGAAACAUCACAGCAGACAGCUUCCGGAAAAGCUUUUUGGAGUGGGAAGCUGUCCGAUUCGAAGUGGACAAAUUAUGCCAGGAGGACCACUUUGACUGCCCAGCGUGCAGCCCAGACAUGCUUGCAGUAUCCGUUGAUGGAAACCAUCGGAGGAAAAAGCCAUCUUUGAUGGCGUGUUCAUCGCAAAUGAUGAUGAUGUAGCAAGAUUCGUUGACUAUGUCCAUACCUCAACCAGUCAUGUCUCUGGAAGAGGUGUCUGUGGAGGGCAAUGGUCAGCGGCACGUGAAACGUCUCAGAAGUCCUCAGGAAAAAC
ensembl:lncRNA